GACGAACGCUGGCGGCGUGCCUAAUACAUGCAAGUAGAACGCUGAAGGAGGAGCUUGCUUCUCUGGAUGAGUUGCGAACGGGUGAGUAACGCGUAGGUAACCUGCCUGGUAGCGGGGGAUAACUAUUGGAAACGAUAGCUAAUACCGCAUAAGAGUAGAUGUUGCAUGACAUUUGCUUAAAAGGUGCAAUUGCAUCACUACCAGAUGGACCUGCGGUGUAUUGGCUAGUUGGUGGGGUAUCGGCUCACUAAGGCGACGAUACAUAGCACACCUGCGAGGGGGGUCAGCCGCACUGGGAGGGAGACAGGGCCCAGACGCCUACGGGAGGCGGCAGGAGGGAAACGUGGGCAAUGGGCGGAAGACAGACCGAGCAAGGCGGCGGGAGGGAAGAGGAUUGUCGGGUCGGGGAGCACUGUUGUAAGGGAAGAACGAGUGUGAGAGUGGAAAGUUCACACUGUGACGGUAUCUGACAAAGAAGGAACGGCUAACUACGUG
rnacentral:rRNA from 1 species